GCUGGGCACAGUGGCACAUGCCUGUAAUCCCAGUGGCUCAGGAGGCUGAGGCAGGAGGAUCGCGAGUUAAAAACCAGCUUCAGCAACUUAGUGAGGCCCUGUCUCUA
rnacentral:sRNA from 1 species